rnacentral:rRNA from 1 species
UUGGAGGGCAAGUCUGGUGCCAGCAGCCGCGGUAAUUCCAGCUCCAAUAGCGUAUAUUAAAGUUGUUGCAGUUAAAGAGCUCGUAGUUGAAUUUCGGGAUCAGAUUGUCGGUCGUGCCUCGGUACGCACUGGUAUUAUUGGUUCCUACCUUCUGAAGAACCGCGAUGUCAUUAAUUUGGUGUCGUGGGGAAUCAGGACUGUUACUUUGAAAAAAUUAGAGUGUUUAAAGCAGGCUUACGCUUGAAUACAUUAGCAUGGAAUAAUGAAAUAGGACGUUUGAUUCUAUUUUGUUGGUUUCUAGGAUUGACGUAAUGAUUAAUAGGGAUAGUUGGGGGCAUUAGUAUUCAAUUGUCAGAGGUGAAAUUCUUGGAUUUAUUGAAGACUAACUACUGCGAAAGCAUUUGCCAAGGAUGUUUUCAUUAAUCAAGAACGAAAGUUAGAGGAUCGAAGACGAUCAGAUACCGUCGUAGUCUUAACCAUAAACUAUGCCGACUAGGGAUCGGAUGAUGUUAAUUUUUUAAUGACUCAUUCGGCGCCUUACGGGAAAC